GGAUUCAAAAUACAGCCAAGGGGAUGGGUUGUGGAAAGAACUUUUGCUUGGAUUAAUAGGAAUAGAAGACUAUCAAAGGAGUAUGAUUUGCUUACAACAUCUACAGAAAACUUUAUAUAUUUAGCUAUGAGUAGUAUUGAAAUUUUGGUUUAUGCUAAUUUUCAAGUAGAGAUGGGUGCAAACACGCUGUAUGGCGGAAAGGGAGGGAUUCGAACCCUCGACAUAUUUCCAUAUGUGCACGCCUUCCAAGCGUGUGCUUUAGGCCACUCAGCCACCUUUCCAUAAGUAUGAAUCCUUCAGAUGUUUAGACAUUUUAUCCCAAUUUGGGAUGGCUUUGUUGCAUAGCUAUUUGUAUUAAGACAGCAUAUGUAAAUUCAAGCAGCCAUUUCAAACUUAGGCAUACCUAUAUUAAUAAAUUUAUUAAUUAAGUAGCAUUUAAUGAGGAGCUCUUUUUCCCCGAUUUAUUUCAGAUCUGUUCUUCAAACUAAACCCAAAUAUCUGUUUGAGCCUGUA